CGGAGGAAAAGAAACCAACAGGGAUUACCUCAGUAACGGCGAGUGAAGCGGUAACAGCUCAAAUUUGAAAUCUGGCUCUUUCAGGGUCCGAGUUGUAAUUUGUAGAAGAUGCUUCGGGUGUGGCUCCGGUCUAAGUUCCUUGGAACAGGACGUCAUAGAGGGUGAGAAUCCCGUAUGUGACUGGUUGCCUUCGCCCAUGUGAAGCUCUUUCGACGAGUCGAGUUGUUUGGGAAUGCAGCUCUAAAUGGGUGGUAAAUUUCAUCUAAAGCUAAAUAUUGGCCAGAGACCGAUAGCGCACAAGUAGAGUGAUCGAAAGAUGAAAAGCACUUUGGAAAGAGAGUUAAACAGUACGUGAAAUUGUUGAAAGGGAAGCGCUUGCAACCAGACUUGCACCCCGUCGAUCAUCCCCCGUUCUCGGAGGUGCACUCGGCGGGGUUCAGGCCAGCAUCGGUUUCGGUGGUGGGAUAAAGGCCUUGGGAACGUAGCUCCUCUCGGGGAGUGUUAUAGCCCUCGGUGCAAUGCCGCCUACCGGGACCGAGGACCGCGCUCCGGCUAGGAUGCUGGCGUAAUGGUUGUAAGCGACCCGU
rnacentral:rRNA from 1 species